rnacentral:pre_miRNA from 1 species
AGCUUUUCGAAUCCGUGUUGAGAUUUCGUCAGACACCAACCCAUUAGGGCUGAUGAGACUUUCAAGAUUAGUGAAGUU